rnacentral:lncRNA from 1 species
GAUCUCGAACCCUGGCCCCAAGUGACUCCCAAAGUGCUGGGAUUACUGGUGUGAGCCACCACACCGGGCCUCCUUAGUGGAUUUUGAUAUCAGAGUUAUGAUAGCAUCAUCGAACGAGUUAGAGAAAAUACUCCCUUUUUCUGUUUUCUGAAAGGGUUUGUAUUAUUGGUCUCAUUUCUCCCUUGAAUGUUCAUAGAACUUGCUGGUAGAGUCUGGGCCUAUAGUUUUCCUUUUGGGAAGAUUUUUGGGAAAAACUGAAUGCUUGUAGGGUGAAUUAGUUACUAUUGGCUUCAUUUGGUAAUUUACAGCAAUAAAGAGAUGAGCUCAAAAAAGAAUUGGCUUAUUUGCAAGUAGAAAAGGAAUUUAAUUAUUUAAUUUGAAAGGAAAUUAAGAGAGCACAGAAAUUCAGUACUUGCAGGUUUGGAAGAUACAAGUGAUUCUCAUUUCCAGAUGGUAAAAGAGAAAACUGAGAAGGCCUUUGAAUAUUAAAGUCUGAUUAAAAAUGCUUAGCUGCUUAAGCAAGGAUCCCUUGAGGAUGUGACCAUACAGUCAUUGUUAAAAACCUCUGGAUGAGUUAAAGUAGUGUUUAUUAAGUCCUUUUAGCUUGACAAAAUGGUCAAGUAAAAGAAAAUAAGAAUGCUAUCAAACCUGAUAGGUUUAAGUAUCUGAACUAACUUAAAUGAGGGAGAAUUGUUUUCAAAAGAAUUGUAGGUAUGGCUAUUACUACAGGCAGCGGACUAAACCAAAAUAAAUAAAAAGUCAAGUAUGUUUUUGAAAAAGAACUUUACUUCAAAAAUACCACAGCCUGGACUAAAAUCGUCUAUGACUGUUGGCCCCCAAUUUCUAUAGGAAGGAAGCAUAAAAAGAAAGCUGCUCAGUUCCUAAGAAAGACAUAUUUUCCAGUGCCUUCUUCAGCACGACCAAGGAGGAUAAUUGAAAAGGAAUGACAUCCUGCCAGAGAGAAGACCAAGGGCCAGGGUGAACAAUGGGUUGAGGAGCCCAUUAGUAUUAGCGAAAUCAAGGGCUAUUCAAGAAAUAUUCCCCCUCCCCAGAGUAGGAACUCCUUGUAAUCAUCUGCCCAGUGAGAUUUUAGAAUUGCAUUUUCCAUCCUUCUCUUUUCCAAAUGGGAGGGUUUAUUGGAAUUAUUCUGACCCUGUUUCACUAUUGUAUAUUGUAUAUGUAUUGGGGUGGGUGGAACAAAUAACUGUUGUUAUAAAUUCAUAGGUGUCUAGGUGAAAAUCAACCUCAUCUGGACCUGAUGUAGAGAUUAAGGUAUUAGAUCUUCGACUUAGAGCUCAAGUCAGUGACUUUAUGGAACUUUAAAAGUUUUUUUCCUUGGGGAGGAGGUAAGUAUAUUUGUAUGUGAGAGGGUACAGAAUCUGACAGAAAAUUGAGCAGAGCUAAAGGGAGAAUUAGAGAACUAGAGGAUAGCUCAGAAGAUAUUAUCCAGAAUGCUUUGAAAAGAGACAAAAGGAUGGAAACUAUGGAAGAGAAAUUAGAUAUAUGAAGGAAAAACUAAGAGAAUUUAUCAUUCAUUUAGUUGGAGUUACAUAAGGAAAGGAGAGCAAGAAUGGGGCAGAGGCAGUAUUUGAAGAUGAAAUGGUUGCAAAUAUUUCAGAAUGAAUUAAAGAAGCCCAAUAACCCCAAAUAGGAUAAAUAAGAAGAAAUCUAUCCAAGAUACAUUCUAGAAACUGCAGCAAAUAACAGGCAAAGAGAAAAAUAUUAGAAACACCAGAGGGUAAAAGUAGAUUACUUUCAAAAGAGCAACAGUUGUACUAUCACUUGGCUGCUUAACAGCAAAAAUAGAAGCCAGGUGACAUGGACUGGUACCUUAAAAGGGCUGACAAAAUAGCUGCCAAUCUAGAACUUAUACUAAACAAAAAGUAUCUUUCAAGAAUGAGGGCAAAAGAGACAUUUUUCAGAAAAACAAAAGCUGAGAGAAUUCAUCUCUAGCUCAUUACAGGAAAUUCUAAAGGAUGCAUACUUCAGACAGAAGGAAAGUGAUCCCAGAGGCAAGACCUGAGAUCCAAGAAGGAAAGAAGAGCAGAGAAAGUGGAAAACAUAUGGGCAAACCUAAACAAAGACCUAUUGUAUAAAACAGUGACAAUAAUGUCCUGAAAAUGCAUCAAAGUAAAAGAAGAAAAUUUGCAACAACAGUCAUCCAUAAAUCUACCACCUGGAUAGAAUCCCUGAACCAUUAUGGCAUAUUUUCUGACAGUGCUAUAUAAUGUGUUUCUUUGUUAUGAAGAUUUUCAAACAUACAAAAGUUAAAAGUGUACGAGGGUUCCCUUUACUCCACAUCCUUGCCAACAUUUGU